CCUACGGGAGGCAGCAGUGAGGAAUAUUGGUCAAUGGGCGCGAGCCUGAACCAGCCAAGUAGCGUGAAGGAUGACUGCCCUACGGGUUGUAAACUUCUUUUAUAAAGGAAUAAAGUGAGGCACGUGUGCCUUUUUGUAUGUACUUUAUGAAUAAGGAUCGGCGAACUCCGUGCCAGCAGCCGCGGUAAUACGGAGGAUCCGAGCGUUAUCCGGAUUUAGUGGGUUGAAUGGGAGCGUAGAUGGGUUGUUAAGUCAGCGGUGAAAGUCGGUGGCUCAACCAGAGAAUUGCCGUUGAAACUGGGGGGCUUGAGUAUGUUUGAGGCAGGCGGAAUGCGUGGUGUAGCGGUGAAAUGCUUAGAUAUCACGCAGAACCCCGAUUGCGAAGGCAGCCUCCCAAGCCAUGACUGACGCUGAUGCACGAAAGCGUGGGGAUCAAACAGGAUUAGAUACCCCUGUAGUC
rnacentral:rRNA from 1 species